rnacentral:rRNA from 1 species
UACGGGGGGGAGCAAGCGUUGUUCGGAUUUACUGGGCGUAAAGGGCGCGUAGGCGGUCAGCACAAGUCAGUUGUGAAAUCUCCGGGCUUAACUCGGAAAGGUCAACUGAUACUGUGCGACUAGAGUGCAGAAGGGGCAACUGGAAUUCUCGGUGUAGCGGUGAAAUGCGUAGAGAUGUGGAGGAACACCUGUGGCGAAGGCGCCUUGCUGGCCGGAUUUCUGACGCUGAGGCGCGAAAGCGUGGGGAGCAAACAGG